rnacentral:rRNA from 1 species
AUGACCACAAGGAGGCCACUCGAGCUACUUCACAUGGAUCUUUUCGGUCCCAACGCUUACAAAAGUCUAGGUGAAAAUUCUUUUGGUCUAGUCAUAGUCGAUGAUUUUUCAAGAUUUACGUGGGUGUUCUUUCUCGAUGAUAAAUCGCAGGUUCAAAAGAUCUUCAAAAACUUCUCUAGGAAGGCCCAAAAUCAAUUUGAAGUGAAGAUCAAGAAGGUUCGCAGCGACAACGGAACGGAGUUCAAGAACACAAAUGUGGACACCUUUCUUGACGAAGAAGGGAUUUCACAUGAGUUCUCAGCUACGUACACACCUCAACAAAAUGGAGUUGUUGAGAGGAAGAACCGCACGCUCAUCGAAAUGGCGAGAACGAUGCUUGAUGAGUACAAGACGCCGAAGCACUUUUGGGCGGAAGCGGUUGAGACAGCUUGUCAUGCAACAAAUCACUUGUAUCUUCACAAGCUACUUGGCAAGACGGCAUACGAGCUCCUCACCGGUAACAAACCCCAAGUUGGAUACUUUCGAGUAUUCGGCUCAAAGGGCUACAUUCUUGAUAAGCAUCGUCGUUCUAAAUUUGCUCCUAAAUCUCAUGAAGGUUUCCUACUUGGUUAUGGCUCAAAGUCUCACACUUAUCGUGUCUACAAUAAUUUCACCCGAAAGGUUGAAGAGACGGUAGAUGUGAAGUUUGAUGAAUCUAACGGCUCGCAAGUAGAGCAAUUGCCAAUUGAUGUAGGAGACAAAGACCCUUCGGAAGCAAUCCAAGACUUAUCUAUUGGCAAGAUUCGUCCAACGGAGGUGAAGGAGAGUACCUCGUCCGUCCAAGUGGAAGCUUCCACCUCACGACAAGGUGAACCAAGAGUUGAUACGGAAGCAUCCACAAGUGGGACACACCAAGAUGAAGAAAACGAGGAAGUACACCAAGAUGAACAUCAACAACCUCCUUCUCCACCACGACAAGAGAACGACAACGUCAACAAUGAAGAAGGCCAAGAAGAAGAACAAGAUGAAGAAGAUGUUCCACCCAGAUCCAAGCAAAAGCUUCCACGAGUUCGAGCAAGAGUCGCCAAAGACCAUCCCGUCGAGCAAAUCUACAAUGAUAUCCAAACCGGGAGAAUCACUCGCUCUAAAACUCGUUUGGCUAACUUUUGUGAACAUUAUUCAUUCAUCUCUAGCAUUGAACCUAUGAAGGUUGAAGAAGCAUUGGAAAGCCCUACCGAAUCUUUCUAUCCAGCGCCAUCGAGUUCUCUUGACAUAGCCACUGCCGGAUACCCUAAUCAAGUCGGUCUCACCGAUGGGAUCUCGGUCUCACCGAGAUGGGCUUGCAAACUCUCUGUUGCCUAUUGCAAUAAUUUUGGUCCCACCGAGAUAUGCAAUCGGUCCCACCGAGUUUGCCUGGCCAACUCUCUGUUUUGCUUAUUACCCAAAUCGGUCCCACCGAGUUUGUGUAAUCGGUCAAACCGAGUUGAGGCUUUACCCUAA